GUUUUUGCAUAUAAUUUGUUCACAUGUGUAUAUGUGUGUGUAAGCUGUGUCCUCUAGGCUUGGUCCUGGUGUGAAAGCGGCUAUUACACUGGGUGUUGUUCUUUUUGUCGUGCUUUUGGGUGUGCUCGUUUAUUUCCUCAGAAAGCGCUUUAAAAAACCUGAUGACACUGUGAGAAAUGCACCUAUAAAAAUAAGUGAAACUCAACAAACCAAUCCAGCAUUUAGUCAUAACACCAUGAUGGCAGAAAGUCGCCACAGCUCAACAAACAACACAACUGGGAACAUAGGAACCUGAAAGUCCAAGAUAAUUUAUCUCUGAAAACCAAUCAACUCCACUCAAAAGGGGUGGCAGGGUGCAACUUUUCCCCACUAGCCGUCAUUCUCUACCUCUUACCACUCCAGAUCUAUAGGGUAUGGUGAGCAGACAUCCCGAAACAACCACUGUUGCCACACAACAGGGAGAUGAAUGUAACAAAUCUCUUUUGAUGUCUGAAUUCUAAUAUUAUAUUUCUGUCAGCACUGAAAUUAUUCCUUAAGAAACCACUGUUAAUGUGGUGAUUUUAUACCCUUAAUGUAACCACACACAUGUAGCCAUGCACACAUGCCUUGAUGUCAUCAGAUAAACAAUAAUUUGGUUUAGGAUUGUAUUCGGAUUUAUGUCACCACGUAUAUACACACACACCUUAAGUAAUCACAAAUGUAUUCUGAU